AAACCGCCGCAUCGCCUCUCCAUCGCCCCUCCGCAUCCCCUCCACCUCAUCUUGUUCUCGCGAUCUUUGGGGAGAGACCCUAGCCACACUUUUGCGGCGGCGCCGCCCUUGCAAUGCGCGUCUGCUCCACCACUGCAGCCAUGUCCGGCGAGCCCAAGCUCGGCAAGUACAUCGCCUGCAUCAUAUACCUGAAGUCGCAGGAGGCAUUGCAGACCAGGUUGAGGCGCUGAAGAGCGGCUGAUCUCCGCUCAUCGUGCACCUCUCCUCUCGCUAGGCCUAGGCGGAGCAGGAGAUCCGUCGCUGCGGGAGGGGAUCGAUAGGAAGCAAUCACUCAUCAUGGCAGAUGAUGUGCGCCCCUCGCCGGUGGGGAUUAUUGGAUAGAUUUCUCUCUGUUCCGAUCCUUCGCUGCCUCGGUACAGGUGCCCGAUUAUGUGCCACAAAUCUUUCAUGGCGUUGAUGAUUGUAAGGUCUGGUCUCCCAAUUUUCCAACUCUUGCUCAUCUGCUCGUUCCAGUUCGGCGUCCUUGGCACAAACAGGAAUCGGCAAUGAUGAUAUUGUUAGCUCGGCCACCAGGUAGUCACGUUAGAUAAAUCAAGUGCGUCACAAAAUAUGUGUAUGAAGAUGGUGCUUUGCAAAAUUCAAGUUUGUCUUUGUGAUGCUACACUGGCAGCGAUACUAUAUUUUUAUCACACUCUACUACAGAAGUGCAGCAAAAGCAUCCAUCUACUCAAGGUGUAAUAAUACAAGAAGAUCUAAGAUGUUUGCACUGCUAAUUUAUUAUGCAUAUUCUGGUGAAAAUUUGUUUCUCUGGGCUCCUUACAUUUUUUGUCAAAUAAACUAUGAACCCACACAUGUUUGUUGAUGUUCGACCAUUAAUUUUAAGUUUGGAGAUGCUUAUAAUAUGCGAGCUAACCUAAGAUUGCAUUAAUGCUCACAAGGGAUAUGCGAAUGCUGCUACUGAGAAAUUGACCUUCUGACGUACCAAAGGCAAGUAUCCCGCCUUUUCAUUUUUCCAUCUUUCUAGUGCUAUUUCCAUAAUUUUGUUCUUGCAAUUUCCCCGUCUACGUAAAUUGUGCAGACCCCAUCAGUUUUGGAAACUAGCAUCUUUCCAUAGGUUUGUACAAAACAGGUAAUUGACCUUCUGAUGUACCAUAGGAGUAGUAAAUUGUUGUGAAUGAAUAAAGCAUGGUAAUAAUCCAAAGCUUUGCAAAAACAUUUUCACAUAUUAUUUUCUUUAACAUAGAGGUCACGAUGAUAGAGGUCCUCCUUUGUUGGUACAUCCUCUGGGAUUACGAUUCUGCUAUUGAAACAUUGUAUGUUGUUUUUAUCUUCUAUAUGUCGACCGACAUUUUUUUAUCAGUUUUGGUGCCUUUCUUUAUGGCCGCGUUCAUUUACAUUGGAAAUAUCAUGGAUGCUGCUUUGUGGAGGAGAUAUUGCCAUUAGCUUGAACAAUGAGGAUCUGUGUGGAAUUAGGCAAUCAAAGAUUUACAUCAUAUUGCAGAUCCUAUGGAACUCUUCAACCAUAGAGUAACACUUCAAGUCUGAUUUAGCAUACAUUCAAUCUAACUGACAAACAAAUCUGUUGAAAGCAAGACAUGUUAAAUGAGAAAUGAUAUUGACCUUUUACAGUCCACCGGGAAACGUUGGAAUUGUUCAUCUCCAGUUUCUAUGAAUAAGGUUGACAUGUUUUAUUAAAAACUUUCCUUUCGACCAUCCAGAUUUGAGGUAUCUGUAUCCGACUUGAUCAGAUUACCGCUUUCUUUUACUUAACUCCGUUUUGAGAUGGAAAAUAGUGGCACUGGUAAACAUAACACUUCUUUUCAAUUCAGUCAUCAAGUACUUGAUAUACUUAUGGACACUUGCUACCAUUAUAUUGCAAAACAGACACGUGCUGCAACACACCAUCUUGGGUAAGUGGCUAUGCUAAUUUGCUGUCAGUUUGAUUUGUAUCUUCUGAUUUUGUUCUAUUCUAGAUUGAAUUAAACAAUGAUACUCCCUCCGUCCCAAAUAAGUGUCUCAACUUUGUACUAACUAAGUUGUACUAAAGUUGAGACACUUAUUUUCAAAUGGAGGGAGAGUAGUAAAUUCUGUAAAUGUUUUCCUUCAGAUAUAGUGGUUUUGAAGAUUCAACAUAUUCCGCAUGAUACCAGCUAGCACA